GGAUUGCAGGCUGCAACUCGCCUGUAUGAAGUCGGAAUUGCUAGUAAUCGUGGAUCAGCAUGCCACGGUGAAUACGUUCCCGGGCCUUGUACACACCGCCCGUCACACCAUGAGAGCCGGGAACACCCGAAGCCGAUAGUCUAACGAAAGAGGACGUCGUCGAAGGUGGGAUUGAUGACUGGGGUGAAGUCGUAACAAGGUACC
rnacentral:rRNA from 1 species